GUCCUCGUAGACCAACGGCAGGAGUCACCGGGCUCAGAAUCCGGGCAGUGUGAGUUCGAAUCUCACCGAGGACA
rnacentral:tRNA from 1 species